GAUGAACGCUAGCGGGAGGCCUAACACAUGCAAGCCGAGCGGUAGAGUUUCUUCGGAAACUUGAGAGCGGCGCACGGGUGCGUAACACGUGUGCAACCUACCUUUAUCUGGGGGAUAGCCUUUCGAAAGGAAGAUUAAUACCCCAUAAUAUAAUGAUUGGCAUCAAUUAUUAUUGAAAACUCCGGUGGAUAGAGAUGGGCACGCGCAAGAUUAGAUAGUUGGUGAGGUAACGGCUCACCAAGUCAAUGAUCUUUAGGGGUCCUGAGAGGGAGAUCCCCCACACUGGUACUGAGACACGGACCAGACUCCUACGGGAGGCAGCAGUGAGGAAUAUUGGACAAUGGGUGAGAGCCUGAUCCAGCCAUCCCGCGUGAAGGAUGACGGUCCUAUGGAUUGUAAACUUCUUUUGUACAGGGAUAAACCUACCCUCGUGAGGGUAGCUGAGGGUACUGUACGAAUAAGCACCGGCUAACUCCGUG
rnacentral:rRNA from 1 species